GAUGAACGCUAGCGGCAGGCCUAACACACGCAAGUCGAGGGGUAGAACACUUCGGUGUUUGAGACCGGCGCACGGGUGCGUAACGCGUAUGCAAUCUACCUUGUACAGGGGAAUAGCCCAGAGAAAUUUGGAUUAAUGCCCCAUAGUAUAUAACCUUCGCAUGUUGGUUAUAUUAAAGUUCCAACGGUACAAGAUGAGCAUGCGUCCCAUUAGUUAGUUGGUAAGGUAACGGCUUACCAAGACGAUGAUGGGUAGGGGUCCUGAGAGGGAGAUCCCCCACACUGGUACUGAGACACGGACCAGACUCCUACGGGAGGCAGCAGUGAGGAAUAUUGGUCAAUGGGCGCAAGCCUGAACCAGCCAUGCCGCGUGCAGGAAGACGGUCCUAUGGAUUGUAAACUGCUUUUAUACAGGAAGAAACAACUCUACGUGUAGAGUCUUGACGGUACUGUAGGAAUAAGGAUCGGCUAACUCCGUGCCAGCCGCCGCGGUAACAC
rnacentral:rRNA from 1 species